rnacentral:misc_RNA from 1 species
GAUGAAGAACGUAGCGAAAUGCGAUACGUAAUGUGAAUUGCAGAAUUCAGUGAAUCAUCGAAUCUUUGAACGCAUAUUGCGCUCUCUGGUAUUCCGGAGAGCAUGCUUGUUUGAGUAUCAGUAAACACCUCAACUUCCAUAUCUUUUUUGAAAUGGGAGUUGGACUUGAGUGAUCCCAACGCUUUUCCUCACCGAAAAGUGGCGGGUUACUUGAAAUGCAGGUGCAGCUGGACUUUUCUCUGAGCUAUAAGCAUAUCUAUUGAGUCUGCCUAAAAAACAGAUUGUUACCUUUGCUGCAGCUAACAUAAAGGAGAUUAGUUCUUGUGCUGACUGAUGCAGGAUUCACAAAGACAGGCUUCGGCCGACUUUGUAAACUCGAUCUCAAAUCAAGUAAGACUACCCGCUGAACUUAAGCAUAUCAAUAAGCGGAGGA